CAGCCGCCGCGGUAAUACGUAGGGUGCAAGCGUUAAUCGGAAUUACUGGGCGUAAUGCGUGCGCAGGCGGUUCGUUAAGACAGAUGUGAAAUCCCCGGGCUUAACCUGGGAACUGCAUUUGUGGCUGGCGGGCUAGAGUAUGGCAGAGGGGGGUAGAAUUCCACGUGUAGCAGUGAAAUGCGUAGAGAUGUGGAGGAAUACCGAUGGCGAAGGCAGCCCCCUGGGCCAAUACUGACGCUCAUGCACGAAAGCGUGGGGAGCAAACAGGAUUAGAUACCCCGGUAGUCCCUGUCUCUUAUAC
rnacentral:rRNA from 1 species